ACAUCUAGUAAUGAGUUUGAAAUCUUAAGUCAGUUGCACAGUCACAGCUGGUCGCAGACAUGACAGUCGUUCGUUACUGUCCUAAGUUACUUCAAAUUUCAGAACAAAUUAAAAAUUUAAACGGAGAUGGGAUAAUAAGUUAACUGUUUUUAGAUAAUUACAGGUCUGGCCAACUAGUUGCUCGUGACAAUAGAAAUAAAAUGUUCUAAUCCAACAACGCUACCUAUGUCUUUUGAAGCUAAAUAAGUUCUGUUGCAAGAUUUUGUAAAUCUUCAAGAUGUUGUUGCCUUCGCCAGAUCCAAUUCUUUGCUGCUAUCUAUUUUGCAGACAACAGCAAGAAAUUUCUGCCACUCAUGAUUUGAUCACCAAUUAGUUCAAAUUUAGGACAAUGUGAGAUUUGUAAGUUUGUUAAUCCCCCUCCACUGUGAUAGUUGCUUUGAAACUGACGAGAGAUUGCUGGAAUUGAAGACUGAUUGCAAUUUGUGUAAAUUUUGAUAAAUUACAAGUGCAUGUCUGGGCUCCCUUCAUUUCUGUGGCCCCGUUUCCCUAACUAACUUCAACUAACACCUGCCGGUGGUCACUCACCUGCUGUGAUAACCAGGAAGAGGAAAUUCGUAGGAAAUUAAUGGUAAUUUUCUAAAAAAAUUUUAAGUGUGAUACAAUUAUGUUUGCUAAA
rnacentral:lncRNA from 1 species